UGCGUAGGCGGAAUAUUAGGUCAGUGGUGAAAUCCUGCGGCUCAACCGUAGAACUGCCAUUGAUACUGAUAUUCUUGAAUGUAGUUGAGGUAGGCGGAAUGUGUAAUGUAGCGGUGAAAUGCUUAGAUAUUACACAGAACACCGAUUGCGAAGGCAGCUUACUAAACUAUGAUUGACGCUGAGGCACGAAAGCGUGGGGAGCGAACAGGAUUAGAUACCCUGGUAGUCC
rnacentral:rRNA from 1 species